rnacentral:rRNA from 1 species
UGAGUAACCUGCCCUUAACUCUGGGAUAAGCCUGGGAAACUGGGUCUAAUACCGGAUAUGACUCCUCAUCGCAUGGGUGGGGGGUGGAAAGCUUUUUUGUGGUUUUGGAUGGACUCGCGGCCUAUCAGCUGGUUGGUGAGGUAAUGGCUCACCAAGGCGUCGACGGGUAGCCGGCCUGAGAGGGCGACCGGCCACACGUGGGACUGAGACACGGCCCAGACCUCCGUACGGGGAGGCAG